rnacentral:lncRNA from 1 species
GUUACCAAGCACAUUCAAUCUUUCCAGACACAGAAGAGGAGAGAAGCCCAGGAACCUGAGCUACUAAAGGGAGUUUGUGCCACACAGGGAUGAGACGAAAGGUUUCACAAGUACAAGAUUACAACAGCGGGCUUCAGUCUGGAAACAAGGAAGAACACAAGCAGACAGGCUUCCCUGAGGCUGCUGCUCAGGGUACUAGUAUCUAAAUCUCUGAAAUUGAGAUACUACUUCAAUGUGUAAGGGAUUCCAGAGUGCUUGUCUCUAUAGACCCUUAGCAGAAGCAAAUGAAAAAUCACCUCAGGAAGAAGAUGAUCUCUUCCUGUGUCUCUCAGGGCCAG